GCCCCUUCGGUGGGAGCGGCAGACGGUUUNGGAACGCGUGGNAACCACCUCUCGGUACGGAACAACAGUUGGAAACGACUGCUAAUACCGUAUACGCCCUAUGGGGGAAAGAUUUAUCGCCGAGAGAUUGGCCCGCGUUGGAUUAGCUAGUUGGUGGGGUAAUGGCCUACCAAGGCGACGAUCCAUANUUUUUUUGAGAGGAUGAUUNNCCACACUGGGACUGAGACACGGCCCAGACUCCUACGGGAGGCAGCAGUGGGGAAUAUUGGACAAUGGGNGCAAGCCUGAUCCAGCCAUGCCGCGUGAGUGAUGAAGGCCUUAGGGUUGUAAAGCUCUUUCGCCGGUGAAGAUAAUGACUGUAGCCGGUAAAGAAGCCCCGGCUAACNGCGUGCCAGCAGCCGCGGUAAUACGAAGGGGGCUAGCGUUGUUCGGAAUUACUGGGCGUAAAGCGCACGUAGGCUGACUUUUAAGNCAGGG
rnacentral:rRNA from 1 species